rnacentral:lncRNA from 1 species
UUUCUUCACCGUCUUUACCUCUUCCAUCCUAAUUUGACCCAAAAAGUACGUCUUUGAUUCACUUUCUGUUUAUAUAUAUACACAAACGAAUAUAUGGUGAUCAUCUCAAAGAUUGGAUAUGGCAGAAAUACCGUACUAUUCGAAUUUGGCUAAUAAUGGCCAUGUAAUCAGCCCCCGGUUCUGUGCUGCUCAUCCAGUUGAUCUUGUAAUCGAGAAAAAGGUUUUUACCUUUAGAAAUACCAGAUAUAUAGUUACAUCAAAUGAUGGCA